GCAGGACACAUGAACACCGACACGUUGAACGCAUAUGGCGCAUCGGACGUUUAAACCCGACCGAUGUACACAUUCUUGAGUGCCUACCAAUUCCUUGUUACACAAUUACCUAACUACAUGGCGCCCGUGUACGGACGGCAUCUUGGCGAGCAGCCCGCCUUCUGAUGUUGCUGGAAGAACACGUGAGCGCACUGUGAAUCUUGGCGUGCCGGGCCCGUCUCCUACCGGGAAACCUUGGGCGCUGAAAUGGUAAAGGCAGUACAGUCUCACUGUGCAAUAGAGGGGUGCAGCGUCAAGUCGCACGGGUCGAACUUCGGCUAUGGACGACCUGAGAUACCCGGCAGCCUACUAACACCAGGCUAGCCGAUCCGGUUCCAGGGGUUACGAAUCAUCCGGCCGAGUCGUGUAACGCGUGCGACCCAUACGGUGGGCCCCCGAUAAACUGAGCAAUCUGUCUAAGUAGGCCUCAAGUGAUGUGUGACAACCCCCAGAAUUUAAGCAUAUUAAUAAGGGGAGGAAGAGAAACCAACCGGGAUUCCCUGAGUAGCUG
rnacentral:rRNA from 1 species